rnacentral:hammerhead_ribozyme from 1 species
AUCCGGCUGACGAGUCCUAAAUAGGACGAAACGCGCGUCCUGGAU